UACGAAGGGGCAAGCGUUGUUCGGAAUUACUGGGCGUAAAGGGCGCGUAGGCGGCUUACCAAGUCAGGCGUGAAAUUCCCGGGCUCAACCUGGGGGCUGCGCCUUGAUACUGGUGAGCUUGAAUGCGGGAGAGGAGUAGUGGAAUUCCCAGUGUAGAGGUGAAAUUCGUAGAUAUUGGGAAGAACACCGGAUGGCGAAGGCGGGCAAGUCUGGCCCGUAAUUGGACGCUGAGGCGCGAAAG
rnacentral:rRNA from 1 species